AGAGUUUGAUCCUGGCUCAGGACGAACGCUGGCGGCGUGCCUAACACAUGCAAGUCGAACGGACGAGGCCCCUUCGGGGACCGAGUUAGUGGCGGACGGGUGAGUAACGCGUGAGCAACCUGCCUUUCAGAGGGGGACAACAGUUGGAAACGACUGCUAAUACCGCAUGAUGCAGCGAGAUCGCAUGGUCUUGCUGUCAAAGAUUUAUCGCUGAAAGAUGGGCUCGCGUCUGAUUAGCUAGUUGGAGGGGUAACGGCCCACCAAGGCGACGAUCAGUAGCCGGACUGAGAGGUUGAACGGCCACAUUGGGACUGAGAUACGGCCCAGACUCCUACGGGAGGCAGCAGUGGGGAAUAUUGGGCAAUGGGGGAAACCCUGACCCAGCAACGCCGCGUGAAGGAAGAAGGCUUUCGGGUUGUAAACUUCUUUUACCAGGGACGAAGAACGUGACGGUACCUGGAGAAAAAGCCACGGCUAACUACGUGCCAGCAGCCGCGGUAAUACGUAGGUGGCAAGCGUUGUCCGGAUUUACUGGGUGUAAAGGGCGUGUAGGCGGAGCUGCAAGUCAGAUGUGAAAUCUGGGGGCUUAACCCUCAAACUGCAUUUGAAACUGUAGCCCUUGAGUACCGGAGAGGCAGGCGGAAUUCCUAGUGUAGCGGUGAAAUGCGUAGAUAUUAGGAAGAACACCAGUGGCGAAGGCGGCCUGCUGGACGACAACUGACGCUGAGGCGCGAAAGCGUGGGGAGCAAACAGGAUUAGAUACCCUGGUAGUCCACGCUGUAAACGAUGAAUACUAGGUGUGGGGGGACUGACCCCCUCCGUGCCGGAGUUAACACAAUAAGUAUUCCACCUGGGGAGUACGACCGCAAGGUUGAAACUCAAAGGAAUUGACGGGGGCCCGCACAAGCAGUGGAUUAUGUGGUUUAAUUCGACGCAACGCGAAGAACCUUACCGGGAUUUGACAUCCUACUAACGAAGCAGAGAUGCAUUAGGUGCCCUUCGGGGAAAGUAGAGACAGGUGGUGCAUGGUUGUCGUCAGCUCGUGUCGUGAGAUGUUGGGUUAAGUCCCGCAACGAGCGCAACCCCUAUUGUUAGUUGCUACGCAAGAGCACUCUAGCGAGACUGCCGUUGACAAAACGGAGGAAGGCGGGGACGACGUCAAAUCAUCAUGCCCCUUAUGUCCCGGGCUACACACGUAAUACAAUGGCGGUCAACAAAGGGAAGCAAAGCCGCGAGGCAGAGCAAACCCCCAAAAGCCGUCUCAGUUCGGAUUGCAGGCUGCAACUCGCCUGCAUGAAGCUGGAAUUGCUAGUAAUCGUGGAUCAGAAUGCCACGGUGAAUACGUUCCCGGGCCUUGUACACACCGCCCGUCACACCAUGAGAGUCGGGAACACCCGAAGUCCGUAGUCUAACCCGCAAGGGAGGGCGCGGCCGAAGGUGGGUCUGAUAAUUGGGGUGAAGUCGUAACAAGGUA
rnacentral:rRNA from 1 species